ensembl:lncRNA
AAAGAAUUUCUUCCUAAUACCUAGUUUUAAUCCACCCUCUUCCAGGGUACCAGUCUCAACACCGAUCUCUGAGGAACACAACUCAUCAAAGUAUUUUAGAAUGAGCUUCUGUUCUCUUGUUAAAUACAAAAUGCAGUUUGGUUUAAGAAUGGUGUUGGUAACCAACUUGACACUGACUCUGUAAUGGAACCAAACUCAGCCAGAUUGGCAAGAUGGAAAGCAUUUGUCAUGGACUGAUAGUGGCAAGAGAUUAACCAAGUAUUUGUUCAGGCAUAAAAAAAAGGUUGAUAAUCUGGAAUAAAGUAUAGUCUGUAAAGAAAUCAAAAUGGGGAAUAUUUUAAAAGAAACAAACUUAGUAGGAUAGGAGAUGGGGAAAUAAAUACUGUAUCAUGGGGAAAAUUGAGGCUACAGGAGGGCAGAAUAUGAAGAAUAGGUCACAGUCAUGUUUUACUUGGUAUCUGACCUUCUAAAAGUCUGCAUGGAAUUUAAAGUGAUAUAUAAGGAUACAGAGAGUUUCGUUGGAGGAUUUUAAGGAGAAGAGAGGUUCGGAGUCAAAAUUUGAGGAAAGAGAACCAUAUGAAAGCAUAGAUCAGCAGAGAAGACAUGCCACAUGUAAUAGAGAGCAGAGAGAACAAGACAUGAGGAUUUCUGUGGGGCAGCAUGACAAAGGAGUUGCCCUGGAAUACACAGCUCUCUAAUGCCUGAGUGGAAACAGCAGCUCAUGUCCAACAACUCAGCACCUUUGCAAGGGAGGUCACCCCUGGUUUAUGAUGCUUAAUUUGGAUUUAGAACCUGGCUUCAUGCUUUGAAGAUGUGAAAACUUCAAACCUCUUCAACAUGCCUGUCCUAUAACUCAAAAGACAGUUUAUUGAACAUCUGUCAAAAGAAACAUAAAUUAACUGAGGGAGGCACAAAAUGUAAAUCCUGAAACAGAUUAACUCAGACUCCAAGAUUCAAGAGGACUUCUGAGCUGAAAUGUGAUUCUCCUUUUAUGACUAAAGAUUGCCACAUUGCUCAGUUAUGAAGGCUAAUGUAUUUUGAAGCUGUGCAUAAGAUUUGUUUUGCUAGUGGAUGUUAUUUAGCAUUCAGUUGUACUCAAAAUGAAGCAGAUUGUCAGUAACGCAAAAUGCACAAUAACAUAUGUAAUUCUCUUAGAUACCAGAGUAAUUUCUAAAGUUUUGAAAGGCCCAAAUAUGAAUCAAGCUGAAGGCGGAAAGAUAUUCAUGUAGUGAAAAAUAAAAUAUUUAUGUGAUAAAGUGCUUGUAAGAAUCAAGGUAGGACGUAAAGUAACUAGAAAGAAAGGAAAGAAAUGAAACUACAACAUAGGAAAAUACGGACAAAACCACAAGUGCCAACCCUACCCUGUGUAUUCGAACAAACAAAUAGGCUGUUCAUGCAAAUAACUUCAAUAAUGUUUAUGUUUUCACUUAGAAGAAAGCAGUGAUGUGAAAUAAUGUAAAAGCCCAGUUAGUCAUCCCUUAUUUACUAAAGUUUUUUCCAUCAUACUGUCAAAUUGCAUCUAAUGAUCCCUCU